rnacentral:lncRNA from 1 species
UUGAAGUCAGGCCACUUGUGCCACGGCUUGAGCAAACCGUGCUGCCUGUAGCUCCGCCCAAAACGGGAGGCGUAAAAAUUCCCAGGGAGGCCAUGCGCCACGGAAGCUGUACGCGUGGCAUAUUGGACUAGCGGUUAGAGGAGACCCCUCCCAUCACCAACAAAACGCAGCAAAAGGGGGCCCGAAGCCAGGAGGAAGCUGUACUCCUGGUGGAAGGACUAGAGGUUAGAGGAGACCCCCCCAACACAAAAACAGCAUAUUGACGCUGGGAAAGACCAGAG